CUUUCCUCCCGAGUGCUUGCACUCAAUUGGAAAGAGGAGUGGCGGACGGGUGAGUAACACGUGGGUAACCUACCCAUCAGAGGGGGAUAACACUUGGAAACAGGUGCUAAUACCGCAUAACAGUUUAUGCCGCAUGGCAUAAGAGUGAAAGGCGCUUUCGGGUGUCGCUGAUGGAUGGACCCGCGGUGCAUUAGCUAGUUGGUGAGGUAACGGCUCACCAAGGCCACGAUGCAUAGCCGACCUGAGAGGGUGAUCGGCCACACUGGGACUGAGACACGGCCCAGACUCCUACGGGAGGCAGCAGUAGGGAAUCUUCGGCAAUGGACGAAAGUCUGACCGAGCAACGCCGCGUGAGUGAAGAAGGUUUUCGGAUCGUAAAACUCUGUUGUUAGAGAAGAACAAGGACGUUAGUAACUGAACGUCCCCUGACGGUAUCUAACCAGAAAGCCACGGCUAACUACGUGCCAGCAGCCGCGGUAAUACGUAGGUGGCAAGCGUUGUCCGGAUUUAUUGGGCGUAAAGCGAGCGCAGGCGGUUUCUUAAGCCUGAUGUGAAAGCCCCCGGCUCAACCGGGGAGGGUCAUUGGAAACUGGGAGACUUGAGUGCAGAAGAGGAGAGUGGAAUUCCAUGUGUAGCGGUGAAAUGCGUAGAUAUAUGGAGGAACACCAGUGGCGAAGG
rnacentral:rRNA from 1 species